rnacentral:rRNA from 1 species
UACGUAGGUGGCAAGCGUUGUCCGGAUUUACUGGGCGUAAAGAGCGCGCAGGCGGUCGAAUAAGUCGAAUGUGAAAGCCCCCGGCUUAACUGGGGAGGGUCAUUCGAUACUGUUCGACUUGAAGGCAGGAGAGGGCAGCAGAAUUCCCGGUGUAGUGGUGAAAUGCGUAGAUAUCGGGAGGAAUACCAGUGGCGAAGGCGGCGACCUGGGUAGAUACUGACGCUGAGGCGCGAAAGCGUGGGGAGCAAACAGG